GUGAAUUAAACAUGCUUGGUGUCUUCGCUUCGGCAAGGCCCUUGCUUAAAUCACAUCCUAACACCUGUGAACUGUAAGACGUAUGAUGAGGUCUUUGGCCAGGUCAUCGUCUGCCCAUUUUUAACAAACAAUUAAUGUAACAAACGUAGUCUUAUUAUAACCUAAUA
rnacentral:misc_RNA from 1 species